AGAGCAGUAUCUCAUUUCUGAAAACCUGGAUUGUAGCUUUCCCUGGGCUGACUGUCAAAGGAGGUGGUUUUAAAAAGCAAGCCAAACAGGUUUCCAUCCUUUAGGAAGACCCUGGAACGUGCCAGUUGAUUCUGACAAUUUCUCAUGAACAGAAACACCUAGGAAGGGAGAACUGGGCCCGCCUGGCAGGACGACUGAGCAAGUCCUUGGAAAACCAGAGAUAUUAGAGCGGUGAAUCGCGCUGGUCACGUUGGACACCUGCGCGUUAGGAGAUUCUGGAGCCAGAGGGAGAGACCCCAGAAACUCCCCGGUCGGCGACCCAGCCCGAGACGCCUGGGGUCCCAAGGGAAGCUGAACGCCCGCAGAAUGGGGAAAUGGAGAGAGAACCUGAAAGAGCCCCAAACUCGAGGACCUAUUGCUCCCCAAGAAUAACAUCUUCCAGAACUAGACAGAAAACUAGGCGUCUGGGAACCCUGAAAUCCUUGGAGGAGUAGAUCAUCAUGACCCUCUGUGUUCCUUUUGGCAAAUGACUUGCUUCCAUUGUUUGUUUGUUCAAUUGUCUGUUUGUUAAAUAAAUAAAACCCUUUUCAUGUAUCUUUAAAAUUA
rnacentral:lncRNA from 1 species